AUUGAACGCUGGCGGCAGGCCUAACACAUGCAAGUCGAGCGGAUGAAGCGAGCUUGCUCGUGGAUUCAGCGGCGGACGGGUGAGUAAUGCCUAGGAAUCUGCAUUGUCGUGGGGGAUAACGUCCGAAAACGGGCGCUACUCCCGCAUGCGUCCUGUGGUCGCAAGUGGGGGAGCUUCGGACCUCUCGCCAUCAGAUGAGCCUAGGUCCGACGCGCUAGUUGGUGGGGUAACGGGAUAAAGAGGCGAAGAUCCGUAACUGGGCUGAGAGGAUGAUCAGGCACAUUGGCAGUGAGAAACGGCCCAGACACCGACGGUAGGCCGCAGUGCGGAAUACUGGGCGAGGGGGGAGUGCCUGAUCCAGCGAUGCCGCGGGUGGGAAGAAGGUCUUCGGAUGGGUAAGCACUGUAAGUUGUGAGGUAGUGCAGUUAUUUCAUACCUGGCUGUAUUGACGGUACCCAGAGAAUAAGCACCGGCUAACUUCGUG
rnacentral:rRNA from 1 species